AUGUAUAUAAAUUGACUCUGCUAGAGAUAGUUGGUGGGAGUUUCACCUGUGGAGAGGGAAACUGCCCAGGACUCUAAAUCAAGAUUCCACCCAGCUGCUUUGAAAUACGGCUCCCACAGCUAGAAAUAGUGGACAUUGUUUUGACCUGAGGACUUCCGGCUUGCCAAGCAAAAUCUCUACCAAUGGGUUAUCAGCCUGGCUCUACUGGUCAGGCCUCCUUCUCUUCCCCUAAGGUUCUCUGGCAAAUGAGAGAAAUCUGUAAAGGUGGUUAUCACUUCACUACCUUUAAUCAUUGUUGGAAAUAAAUAGCUUGUUCUAAGUCUCUACCAAA